UUGGAAGGUUUCAAGUUUGGAAAGAAAUGAAAUUAUGUGAUGAGGUUUCUAACUGGGCCCAGGAGGGGGCGAGGUAGGCAAAACAGAGACUAGCUCUGCCUGGGGGGAAAAAAAGCAAGAUUUGUGACCAGCCUAGGCGACAUAGUGAGACCUGUCUCUACAAAAAAUAUAUAAUUAGCUGGGCGUGGUGGCGCGCGCCUGUGGUCCAAGCUUCUCCGGAGGCUGAGGUCGCCUGAGCCCUGGAGGUCGUUGCUGCAUUGAGCCGUGAACGCACCACUGCAUUCCAGCCUGGGCAACAGAGCGAGACUCUAUCUCAAAACAAAACAAAACAAAACAAGAAAAAGAAAAAAAGAAGAAAAUUUAAAAAAAGAAAAAGAAAAAGAAAACGUCCCAGGUCUGUUGAAGCACUAAGAAAAGCAGAAAAAGAAAGGGGAGCCAGGGAAGGGCUGGCAGGCUGUGCAAUUUAAGGGAGCACCAGAAAAACUGGCAAUCAAAUAAUAUAUUAAUGUAAUAUUUUAAAAAGUAAAAAUUAAUGCAGGAAAUCCGGGAGGAACAAAAUAAGAGUCAUGUGUACCUUAACAACAGGGUAAGGUCUGAGGAUUGCGUCAUUAGGCGAUUUUGUUGCUGUACGAACACCACAGAAUGUACUUUGACGACCUAGAUGGUGGAGCCUGGACACACCUCGGCUGUGUGGUGUGGCCUGCUGCUUCCAGGCUGCAAACCUGACAGCAUGGGGCUGUGCUGAAUACCGCAGACCAUUGUAAUUCAUGGGGAAAGCGUGAACGCAGUCCCCCACUACAACUAAUUAUGCAGUCGAGUUUUCCACAUUUGGGAAUAUCUCAGGGGUCAGCACAUCCGGAGUGCAAUCGAUGAGCCUCACGCUGGGAAAAACCACCUUCGUGAUCAUGGUAUCUUCCCUGCCAGAGAGAAACCAAUCAGCUUCAUUUUCAACUUCUUCUAUGACUCCAGAGGAUUCACUUUGCAUCUUGUGACAAAUGAAUAUAUUACCUGAAAAAAAAAUGACAGGAUAGAUGAGUUGCUGCACAGGGGGAAAGCGAAGUUCCCAGGAGUAAGAUGUGCAAGAAGGGGGCAGCCUUGCAUCUCAGGGCUGAGUUCCCUCAACUGUGUGCUUGAGGGAAGUUCUCCCCUUGCAGACACACUGCUGAGUGAUAAGGAAGCGCCUAGACUCCACUCUGACCAGACUUGGUUCUGAGGCCUAUGAAAUGUUGAUGGGAAGAACAGAAGCAGGAAAAUCUAUCUAUUCAAAUUUGCAAGACGUGGAAACUUUUAUUCACCUUCCUGGUUAGACUGUUCCUUUGUCAAAGUAAAGCUAAGGCCAUGGAAAAUGAGCUAUUUGAGAGUCUGUCGCUCCAAGGAAGAACAUGCUGGCCUAAUUGUCCCCCAAGUCAGGAGAGAGAAUUGUAAAAAACACUUAAACAGGCCUAAGUAAAGGUCCAGCACAUUAUUUAUUUAAGACUGAAUUAGGACUGAGUCAUUCUGACUCUGAAAAAAGAGUGUUGUUGGAUUCUUAUGUAUUUAGUGGGUCUGCCCUAUUGAAAACCAUUGUGAAGUAUGGUUUCCCAAGCAAGAAAUGACACUUUCACUGUCAGUCUUUCUAGGAGUCUGGCAGAAUCCAGGACCGGGAUUACCCUUAUUUAUGAAGCGACCUUAGACUAACAGUGGCUCUCUGGGUCUCCAGACAAUUGGCCAGGGACUCUAAAAACCAGAAACAAAGUUGAGAGAACUCCAUGCUGGUGGAGAAAAACAGCUGGCCUUUAUCACCAGAAUGUGCCCCAUAGAAGCAGCAAAGCAGCAAGCGACGUUCUUAAACAAGGGCCUGUGGGCCUCGUCAAGAUCUGGAGGAAUCAUCUACGACUCACUGCUGAGUGAGAGGGCUAGGCAGUGUCUUUAAGGUCCUGCCAGCUUUAACAUUGUAUGCUUUUUCUUUUGUUCAAUCUCUCACCACAACUGGAAGUGUUGCCUCAACUACACAGGAGAAAGUUUGCAGUAACUUAGAGAAAACAUUAUUUUAAUCACCAGUGUAUGUUCUCCUGCUCCCUGGACAAAUCCAUCAGCAGCGGCAACACUGACCAGGUCCAGAUUGGGGCCGCUGCGGUGGAUGUGAAUCCAUUGAAACUAGGGGUCUCCAGUGCUCCUGACUCCUCACAGCUCUGUUCCUAUGACAAGGAUGGUCAGCAAAGCCAGCAACCUUGAAGGGGGACCUUCUCCUAAUCUCCUCCCUGCCUGCUGAGAGAGUGUACAGAAGCAGCCACUUGUCAGCUGCGAUGAAUCCAAUGAUAAUUACAUAAAUCAUUAACAAUACUUGAUAUUUGCCCAUCACAUUUCUCAUUUCAAAGUGCUCGUAAAAUUGUAUCUCAUGGGUGGCACUGCCGGCACAACAGAAUUCCAAGGAAGGAUUACGGGCUAAGUAAAUAAAGCCUGGAGGCUGCUUUGAAGCCUAGGAGUCUGUUAUUAACCCUUUCCUCCUUUUUGUUUAACUUUUUCUCAUGGAAAUGUUCAAACAUACCAAAAAUAGAGAAAAUACUAUAAUGAGUCCUUAUGUAUCCAUAACCUAGCUUCAAAAAUUAUAUAUGGCUUUACAGUCUUGUUUAGUUCAUAACUGCAACUUCAUUGAGGGUGAGUGCUGGGGUAUUCUGAAGCAAAUCAGUGACAACAUAUUUUACCCAUGGAUACUUUAGUGCCAUUAAUAAAAACCCCUAGGUUAUUCUAUUAAUUUGAAAUCUACUAUAAAUCUAUCUGAUGAAUAAAUCAAACAGAUUUUAACAAAUUGCUUCUCUUGCCAAAGUUUCCCAUUUGCUAGAACUAGAGAUUAUUCAUCAAAAUAGCUGUGACAGUAGAAACAUACCACUUGUCUACACACACAACACAUAGCAUACUUAGUAUAGGAAUAGAUCUCUGAUUUGAUGUCCCAGUAAUUUAGAGAUUGAUGAUAUCCUACCAAUACUUUAAGGAGCAGACAUUUCAAAACGAUUGUACAGACCCACUAGUCUGACCUUUUCUCUGUUAGUCACAGUUGGGCUGUGGUCAUUCCUGGAGUCCCUAAGAUUAGAACAGGUAAUGGGUCACCUGUGUGACCUGCACCAAGGCCAGCCCCACCGCCCCCGGCCACAGAAAUAAGAUCUCUCUCUCUCUCUGUCUGUCUCUGUGUGUGUAUGUAUGUGUGUAUGUCUGUUUCUGCCUCUCCCACAUCACACACAUACAUACACACACACACACACACACACACAGUGCCUCACCGGGAAGAAAUGAGCAGGUAUGGAGGAGACAUUCUCAGAGAUGGAUCUCUACUGUGCUCCGUCUUGACUUAUUUGCUGUCAGUGCUCCAAGGGAUGAGCUCUGGAGGUCAUCAGUAACUUGGUCAAACAUCCCCAGCUACUUCUUCAUCCUUCUGAUCCAAUCAAGAGAUUCCUACGCUGAAGUUUCACCUUCAUAAAACAUUUUGUGAUUUUUUUGAAAUGUGGUAAAGAAGAAUUUAAGCUCUUCCGCAGUAGGUAACUACUAGAAACUGAAGAUAAACUGUCAAAAGUGGCUGUUUCUAAGGAUGGAGAAAGGGAUGGCGGGGUUAGAGGAGGUGGUUGCUGCACAGUGUGUCUUGCGUGCAAUUUGAUCAUUUAACUUUUUGCCAUAAACAC
rnacentral:lncRNA from 1 species